rnacentral:rRNA from 1 species
GGAUCCAGACUUUGAUCCUGGCUCAGGAUGAACGCUGGCGGCGUGCCUAACACAUGCAAGUCGAGCGAUCUUCUUCGGAAGAGAGCGGCGGACGGGUGAGUAACGCGGGGGUAACCUGCCUCAUACACAUGGAUAACAUACGGAAAGGUAUGCUAAUACAAGAUGAUAUAAGAGAUUCGCAUGGAUUUCUUAUCAAAGCUCCGGCGGUAUGAGAUGGACCCGCGUCUGAUUAGCUAGUUGGUAAGGUAAUGGCUUACCAAGGCGACGAUCAGUAGCCGACCUGAGAGGGUGAUCGGCCACAUUGGAACUGAGACACGGUCCAAACUCCUACGGGAGGCAGCAGUGGGGAAUAUUGCACAAUGGGCGAAAGCCUGAUGCAGCAACGCCGCGUGAGCGAUGAAGGCCUUCGGGUCGUAAAGCUCUGUCCUCAAGGAAGAUAAUGACGGUACUUGAGGAGGAAGCCCCGGCUAACUACGUGCCAGCAGCCGCGGUAAUACGUAGGGGGCUAGCGUUAUCCGGAUUUACUGGGCGUAAAGGGUGCGUAGGUGGUUUCUUAAGUCAGGAGUGAAAGGCUACGGCUCAACCGUAGUAAGCUCUUGAAACUGGGAAACUUGAGUGCAGGAGAGGAAAGUGGAAUUCCUAGUGUAGCGGUGAAAUGCGUAGAUAUUAGGAGGAACACCAGUAGCGAAGGCGGCUUUCUGGACUGUAACUGACACUGAGGCACGAAAGCGUGGGGAGCAGACAGGAUUAGAUACCCUGGUAGUCCACGCCGUAAACGAUGAGUACUAGGUGUCGGGGGUUACCCCCCUCGGUGCCGCAGCUAACGCAUUAAGUACUCCGCCUGGGGAGUACGCUCGCAAGAGUGCAACUCAA